rnacentral:rRNA from 1 species
GGCAAGACCACUUGCUAAGCCUAAAUACUACCUAGUGACCGAUAGCGGAUCAGUACCGUGAGGGAACGGUGAAAAGUACCCCGUGAGGGGAGUGAAAUAGUACCUGAAACCGUGUGCCUACAAGCCGUCGGAGCCUCCCUGGUGGGGGUGACGGCGUGCCUUUUGAAGAAUGAGCCUGCGAGUUAGUGCUCGGUGGCGAGGUUAACCCGUGUGGGGAAGCCGUAGCGAAAGCGAGUCCGAACAGGGCGAUUCAGUCGCCGGGUCUAGACCCGAAGCGAAGUGAUCUAGCCAUGGGCAGGUUGAAGCGCCGGUAAGACGGCGUGGAGGACCGAACCCACUUAGGUUGAAAACUGAGGGGAUGACCUGUGGUUAGGGGUGAAAGGCCAAUCAAACUUCGUGAUAGCUGGUUCUCCCCGAAAUGCAUUUAGGUGCAGCGUCACGCGUUCCUUGCCGGAGGUAGAGCUACUGGAUGGCCGAUGGGCCCUACCAGGUUACUGACGUCAACCAAACUCCGAAUGCCGGCAAGCCAGAGCGUGGCAGUGAGACUGCGGGGGAUAAGCUUCGUAGUCGAGAGGGAAACAGCCCAGACCACCGGCUAAGGCCCCUAAGCGUGUGCUCAGUGGGAAAGGAUGUGGAGUUGCCCAGACAACCAGGAGGUUGGCUUAGAAGCAGCCACCCUUGAAAGAGUGCGUAAUAGCUCACUGGUCAAGUGAUUCCGCGCCGACAAUGUAGCGGGGCUCAAGUACACCGCCGAAGCCGUGGCGCUCACACAAGCCCAGCAGCGACUUGAUCGCUGUUCAGGCGUGUGGGCGGGUAGGGGAGCGUCGUGUGGGCGGUGAAGCCGCGGAGUGAUCCAGCGGUGGAGACCACACGAGUGAGAAUGCAGGCAUGAGUAGCGAAAGACGGGUGAGAAACCCGUCCGCCGAAUGACCAAGGGUUCCAGGGCCAGGUUAAUCCUCCCUGGGUAAGUCGGGACCUAAGGCGAGGCCGACAGGCGUAGUCGAUGGACAAGGAGUUGAUAUUCUCCUACCGGCGAAGAACCGCCCAUACCGAAUCCGGUGAUGCUAACCACCCCGAACCACCACCGACGUCCUUCGGGACGUCACCGGUGACUAGGCGUGGGACCCGAGCCGGUACUAGGUAAGCGUGUUAACAGGGGUGACGCAGGAAGGUAGCCCGGCGUGGCGAUGGUUGACCACGUCCAAGGCCGUAGCCCGCCUCGUAGGCAAAUCCGCGAGGCACGAGGGUGAGAGUCGACAGAUACCGCGUAUGCGGGAAUCGGGUGAUCCUCAGCUGCCAAGAAAAGCCUCGACGCGAGGUUCUAGCCGCCCGUACCCCAAACCGACUCAGGUGGUCAGGUAGAGAAUACUAAGGCGAUCGAGAGAAUCGUGGUUAAGGAACUCGGCAAAAUGCCCCCGUAACUUCGGGAGAAGGGGGGCCUGAUCCGUGAACCCACUUGCUGGGGGAAGCGGUGAGGGCCGCAGAGACCAGGGAGAAGCGACUGUUUACUAAAAACACAGGUCCGUGCGAAGUCGCAAGACGAUGUAUACGGACUGACGCCUGCCCGGUGCUGGAAGGUUAAGAGGACGGGUCAGCUUCGGCGAAGCCCAGAAUUUAAGCCCCAGUAAACGGCGGUGGUAACUAUAACCAUCCUAAGGUAGCGAAAUUCCUUGUCGGGUAAGUUCCGACCUGCACGAAUGGCGUAACGACUUCUCCGCUGUCUCGACCACGAACUCGGCGAAAUUGCACUACGAGUAAAGAUGCUCGUUACGCGCAGCAGGACGGAAAGACCCCGGGACCUUUACUACAGCUUGGUAUUGGUGUUCGGUGCGGUUUGUGUAGGAUAGGUGGGAGACUACGAAACCGGCGCGCCAGCGCCGGUGGAGUCGCCGUUGAAAUACCACUCUGACCGCAUCGACCAUCUAACCUCGGUCCGUGAUCCGGACCAGGGACAGUGCCUGGUGGGUAGUUUAACUGGGGCGGUUGCCUCCCAAAAAGUAACGGAGGCGCUCAAAGGUUCCCUCAGCCUGGUUGGCAAUCAGGUGUCGAGUGCAAGUGCACAAGGGAGCUUGACUGUGAGACCGACAGGUCGAGCAGGGACGAAAGUCGGAACUAGUGAUCCGGCGGUGGCUCGUGGAAGCGCCGUCGCUCAACGGAUAAAAGGUACCCCGGGGAUAACAGGCUGAUCUUCCCCAAGAGUCCAUAUCGACGGGAUGGUUUGGCACCUCGAUGUCGGCUCGUCGCAUCCUGGGGCUGGAGUAGGUCCCAAGGGUUGGGCUGUUCGCCCAUUAAAGCGGCACGCGAGCUGGGUUUAGAACGUCGUGAGACAGUUCGGUCCCUAUCCGCUGCGCGCGCAGGAAACUUGAGAAGGGCUGUCCCUAGUACGAGAGGACCGGGACGGACGAACCUCUGGUAUGCCAGUUGUUCCGCCAGGAGCACCGCUGGUUCGCUACGUUCGGGAGGGAUAACCGCUGAAAGCAUCUAAGCGGGAAGCCUGCUUCAAGAUGAGGUUUCCAACAGGCCAGUCCUGUGAAGGCACCCAGCUAGACCACUGGGUAGAUAGGCCGGAAGUGGAAGACAGGACCAACGACUGUCGCAGCUGACCGGUACUAAUCAGCCGACAACUUCCAU